GAUGAACGCUGGCGGCGUGCCUAAUACAUGCAAGUCGAGCGAACAGACGAGGAGCUUGCUCCUUUGACGUUAGCGGCGGACGGGUGAGUAACACGUGGGUAACCUACCUAUAAGACUGGGAUAACUUCGGGAAACCGGAGCUAAUACCGGAUAAUAUUUCGAACCGCAUGGUUCGAUAGUGAAAGAUGGCUUUGCUAUCACUUAUAGAUGGACCUGCGCCGUAUUAGCUAGUUGGUAAGGUAACGGCUUACCAAGGCAACGAUACGUAGCCGACCUGAGAGGGUGAUCGGCCACACUGGAACUGAGACACGGUCCAGACUCCUACGGGAGGCAGCAGUAGGGAAUCUUCCGCAAUGGGCGAAAGCCUGGCGGAGCAACGCCGCGUGAGUGAUGAAGGUCUUCGGAUCGUAAAACUCUGUUAUUAGGGAAGAACAAACGUGUAAGUAACUGUGCACGUCUUGACGGUACCUAAUCAGAAAGCCACGGCUAACUACGUG
rnacentral:rRNA from 1 species